CUAACACAUGCAAGUCGAGCGGUAACAGGUGUAGCAAUACAUGCUGACGAGCGGCGAACGGGUGAGUAAUGCUUGGGAAUCUUCCCAGUAGUGGGGAAUAACCAGUCGAAAGAUUGGCUAAUACCGCAUACGUCUGUGAAGAGAAAGCGGGGGAUCGUAAGACCUCGCGCUAUUGGAUGAGCCAAAGUCGGAUUAGCUAGUUGGUGGGGUAAUGGCCUACCAAGGCGACAAUCCGUAGCUGGUCUGAGAGGACGACCAGCCACACCGGAACUGAGACACGGUCCGGACUCCUACGGGAGGCAGCAGUGGGGAAUAUUGGACAAUGGGGGAAACCCUGAUCCAGCGACGCCGCGUGUGUGAAGAAGGCCUGCGGGUUGUAAAGCACUUUUAGUGGGGACAAAAAGUCACGGAUUAAUACUUCGUGAUCUUGAUUUAACUCACAGAAAAAGCACCGGCUAACUCUGUGCCAGCAGCCGCGGUAAU
rnacentral:rRNA from 1 species